AUAGAAGAACAAAAACCCAGCAGUCUUCAAAUGCUGCAUUAAAUAUUAAUGAUGCUAUCCCCAGUUUUUACGACUGCUCAUAUCUGGGAUUCUCUAUGUAUAUCCAACCCAAGAAUGCAGAGAAAUAUUACGGACAAGAAAAUGAUAAGAAUUGCGGGGUGUACUGACUUUUCCUUUUACAUUUUCUAAAGAUACAUCCAUGUCCUUCAUGAGUACCUAACACCUCGACUUAACAAGUACUAUUAUGGAUACUAACAUGGAUUUCAG